rnacentral:rRNA from 1 species
CGUAGGGUGCGAGCGCUAAUCGGAAUUACUGGGCGUAAAGCGUGCGCAGGCGGUUUUGUAAGACAGAUGUGAAAUCCCCGGGCUCAACCUGGGACCUGCAUUUGUGACUGCAAGGCUAGAGUACGGUAGAGGGGGAUGGGAAUUCCGCGUGUAGCAGUGAAAUGCGUAGAUAUGCGGAGGAACACCGAUGGCGAAGGCAAUCCCCUGGACCUGUACUGACGCUCAUGCACGAAAGCGUGGGGAGCAAACAGGAUUAGAUACCCUGGUAGUCCACGCCCUAAACGAUGUCAACUGGUUGUUGGGUCUUUACUGACUCAGUAACGAGCUAACGCGUGAAGUUGACCGCCUGGGGAGUACGGCCGCAAGGUUG